AGGACAAACGCUGGCGGCGUACCUAAGACAUGCAAGUCGAACGGGCGCUUCACCUUCGGGUGGGUGUGCUAGUGGCGGACGGGUGAGUAACGCGUAGGAACCUGUCAUCAAGAGGGGGAUAACGCUGGGAAACCGGCGCUAAUACCGCAUGUGGUCAUGAAAAUGAAGAAAGCAGCAAUGCGCUUGAUGAGGGGCCUGCGUCCGAUUAGCUUGUUGGUGGGGUAAAGGCCUACCAAGGCAUCGAUCGGUAGCUGGUCUGAGAGGAUGGUCAGCCACACUGGGACUGAGACACGGCCCAGACUCCUACGGGAGGCAGCAGUUAGGAAAUUUUCCCAAUGGGCGCAAGCCUGAGGGAGUAACGCCGCGUGGAGGAUGACGGCUUUCGGGUUGUAAACUCCUUUCUGUGGGAAGAGUAGAGACGGCACCGCAGGAAUAAGCCUCGGCUAACUACGUGCCAGCAGCCGC
rnacentral:rRNA from 1 species